GGCGUCGUGGCCAAGUGGCAAGGCAAGGGUCUGCAAAAUCCUGAUCGCGGGUUCAAAUCUCGCCGACGCCU
rnacentral:tRNA from 1 species